rnacentral:rRNA from 1 species
CCCUUAGAGUUUGAUCCUGGCUCAGAUUGAACGCUGGCGGCAGGCCUAACACAUGCAAGUCGAACGGUAACAGGAAGCAGCUUGCUGCUUCGCUGACGAGUGGCGGACGGGUGAGUAAUGUCUGGGAAACUGCCUGAUGGAGGGGGAUAACUACUGGAAACGGUAGCUAAUACCGCAUAAUGUCGCAAGACCAAAGAGGGGGACCUUCGGGCCUCUUGCCAUCGGAUGUGCCCAGAUGGGAUUAGCUAGUAGGUGGGGUAACGGCUCACCUAGGCGACGAUCCCUAGCUGGUCUGAGAGGAUGACCAGCCACACUGGAACUGAGACACGGUCCAGACUCCUACGGGAGGCAGCAGUGGGGAAUAUUGCACAAUGGGCGCAAGCCUGAUGCAGCCAUGCCGCGUGUAUGAAGAAGGCCUUCGGGUUGUAAAGUACUUUCAGCGGGGAGGAAGGCGAUAAGGUUAAUAACCUUGUCGAUUGACGUUACCCGCAGAAGAAGCACCGGCAACUCUGG